GAUGAAGAACGCAGCGAAAUGCGAUAAGUAAUGUGAAUUGCAGAAUUCAGUGAAUCAUCGAAUCUUUGAACGCACAUUGCGCCCGCCAGCAUUCUGGCGGACAUGCCUGUUCGAGCGUCAUUUCAACCCUCGAGCCCCCCCCGGGGGCCUCGGUGUUGGGGGACGGCACACCAGCCGCCCCCGAAAUGCAGUGGCGACCCCGCCGCAGCCUCCCCUGCGUAGUAGCACACACCUCGCACCGGAGCGCGGAGGCGGUCACGCCGUAAAACGCCCAACUUUCUUAGAGUUGACCUCGGAUCAGGUAGGAAUACCCGCUGAACUUAAGCAUAUCAAUAAGCGGAGGA
rnacentral:misc_RNA from 1 species